UCGAGCGAAUCGAUGGGAGCUUGCUCCCUGAGAUUAGCGGCGGACGGGUGAGUAACACGUGGGCAACCUGCCUAUAAGACUGGGAUAACUUCGGGAAACCGGAGCUAAUACCGGAUACGUUCUUUUCUCGCAUGAGAGAAGAUGGAAAGACGGUUUACGCUGUCACUUAUAGAUGGGCCCGCGGCGCAUUAGCUAGUUGGUGAGGUAAUGGCUCACCAAGGCGACGAUGCGUAGCCGACCUGAGAGGGUGAUCGGCCACACUGGGACUGAGACACGGCCCAGACUCCUACGGGAGGCAGCAGUAGGGAAUCUUCCGCAAUGGACGAAAGUCUGACGGAGCAACGCCGCGUGAACGAAGAAGGCCUUCGGGUCGUAAAGUUCUGUUGUUAGGGAAGAACAAGUACCAGAGUAACUGCUGGUACCUUGACGGUACCUAACCAGAAAGCCACGGCUAACUACGUGCCAGCAGCCGCGGUAAUACGUAGGUGGCAAGCGUUGUCCGGAAUUAUUGGGCGUAAAGCGCGCGCAGGUGGUUCCUUAAGUCUGAUGUGAAAGCCCACGGCUCAACCGUGGAGGGUCAUUGGAAACUGGGGGAACUUGAGUGCAGAAGAGGAAAGUGGAAUUCCAAGUGUAGCGGUGAAAUGCGUAGAGAUUUGGAGGAACACCAGUGGGCGAAGGCGACUUUUCUGGUCCUGUAAC
rnacentral:rRNA from 1 species